AAACUCCCCAAAUGUACCAACAGAUGAAGGUCGCCAGCAGUGCCCUGGCCAUCGGGAAAGCUCCUCUGGGUGGAACCAGGACCUGCUCACCACGGUGCUCCCCACUCGGAUCCGGGACAGCGGCAAGGUGCAGCUAAUACUUUUUGCCUUAAUGAGCCGAAGAGGCCUCCGCAGGAACAUGGAACUUUAUCCCAGGGGCCAUCUCCGUCCUCAUUCGAAGUUUUAUGAAAGCACCUAAAGUGUCCAAGGUGCUGGACGCCAACCUCCAUAGGGCACCACCGGCCCCAGGUGAUGCAGCACAACUUCCGCGUGGCAGGACCCUCUUCUAGGGUCCGUCGGCUGGUGUACUUUAAUUUAAGAGGUUCAUAUUCAGGAGGUAAUUAAUACCACAGAAAAAAAAAAUAGCAGGCAAACUCUCAAAGUGACCCCAGGGGCAGGAGAUGAGUGUGACCAAUUCAGUAUCCCAUCUGUUUCUGCAUUUGAGGGAGAUAGUCAUGGGCAGCAUCUCUAAAAGUUCGAGUCCAUACAUGUCUCUGUCCCUGCUGAUUCCAGGAGGCUCACAUUUUCAGGGAAUAUUAGUAAGACAAUGGAUCAGCCUCCAUCAAAGCCCAAAAAACUAGUGUAUUAGUUGAUUCUCGCAUUGCUACAGAGAAAUUCCUGAGACUGGGUAAUUUGUAAAGAAAAGAGGUUUAUAAUUGGCUUAUGGCUCUGCAGGCUGUACAGGAAGCAUGGACGCUUCUGCUUCUGGGGAGCCUCAGGGAGCUUUGACCCAUGGCAGAAGGCAAAGCAGGAGCAGAUGUCUCACAUGACAGGAAUAGGACCAAGAGGGAGGUGGGGAGAUGCCACACACUUUAAAACAACCGGAUCUCAUGAGAACUCAGGAUUGCAACCACGGCACCAUGAAAAACUGCACCCAUGAUCCAGUCACCUCCCACCGGACCUCACCUCCAGCACUGGGGAUUGCAUUUCAACAUGAGAUUUGGGUGGGGACACAGAUUUAAACCAUGUCAACUAGAAGAAGAGUGACAGCAGAUCUAAACAGUGGAGUGACCCCUCUGCAGCUCCCAACCUUCCUCGGCGCAGGCAGGGAGAUGACAGUCACCCGCAUUGCAAAUACCAACAUUUUAAAAC
rnacentral:lncRNA from 10 species